rnacentral:rRNA from 1 species
GACGAACGCUGGCGGCGUGCCUAAUACAUGCAAGUAGGACGCAGUUGAGACAGGGUGAGUAAAGCGUAGGUAACUACCUAUUAGAGGGGGAUAACUAUUGGAAACGAUAGCUAAUACCGCAUACUAGUAGAUGGACCUGCGUUGUAUUAGGUAGUAGGUAGGGUAAUGGCCUACCUGGGCAACGAUACAUAGCCGACGUGGUGGGGGGAUAGGCCACACUGGGACUGAGACACGGCCAAGACUCCUAAGGUAGGCAGCAGUAGGGAAUGUUCGGCAACGGGGGGAACCCUUACCGAACACCGCCGGGUGUGUGAAGAAGGUUUUCGGUGCGUAAAGCGCUGUUUUUAAUGAUGCGGUACUUAUCCAGAAAGGGACGGCUAACUACGUGCCAGCAGCCGCGGUAAUAC